GCUUGCUACCUGACCUAGCGGCGGACGGGUGAGUAAUGCUUAGGAAUCUGCCUAUUAGUGGGGGACAACAUUCCGAAAGGAAUGCUAAUACCGCAUACGCCCUACGGGGGAAAGCAGGGGAUCUUCGGACCUUGCGCUAAUAGAUGAGCCUAAGUCAGAUUAGCUAGUUGGUGGGGUAAAGGCCUACCAAGGCGACGAUCUGUAGCGGGUCUGAGAGGAUGAUCCGCCACACUGGGACUGAGACACGGCCCAGACUCCUACGGGAGGCAGCAGUGGGGAAUAUUGGACAAUGGGCGAAAGCCUGAUCCAGCCAUGCCGCGUGUGUGAAGAAGGCCUUUUGGUUGUAAAGCACUUUAAGCGAGGAGGAGGCUACUUGGAUUAAUACUCUAGGAUAGUGGACGUUACUCGCAGAAUAAGCACCGGCUAACUCUGUGCCAGCAGCCGCGGUAAUACAGAGGGUGCGAGCGUUAAUCGGAUUUACUGGGCGUAAAGCGUGCGUAGGCGGCUUUUUAAGUCGGAUGUGAAAUCCCUGAGCUUAACUUAGGAAUUGCAUUCGAUACUGGGAAGCUAGAGUAUGGGAGAGGAUGGUAGAAUUCCAGGUGUAGCGGUGAAAUGCGUAGAGAUCUGGAGGAAUACCGAUGGCGAAGGCAGCCAUCUGGCCUAAUACUGACGCUGAGGUACGAAAGCAUGGGGAGCAAACAGGAUUAGAUACCCUGGUAGUCCAUGCCGUAAACGAUGUCUACUAGCCGUUGGGGCCUUUGAGGCUUUAGUGGCGCAGCUAACGCGAUAAGUAGACCGCCUGGGGAGUACGGUCGCAAGACUAAAACUCAAAUGAAUUGACGGGGGCCCGCACAAGCGGUGGAGCAUGUGGUUUAAUUCGAUGCAACGCGAAGAACCUUACCUGGUCUUGACAUAGUAAGAACUUUCCAGAGAUGGAUUGGUGCCUUCGGGAACUUGCAUACAGGUGCUGCAUGGCUGUCGUCAGCUCGUGUCGUGAGAUGUUGGGUUAAGUCCCGCAACGAGCGCAACCCUUUUCCUUAUUUGCCAGCGGGUUAAGCCGGGAACUUUAAGGAUACUGCCAGUGACAAACUGGAGGAAGGCGGGGACGACGUCAAGUCAUCAUGGCCCUUACGACCAGGGCUACACACGUGCUACAAUGGUCGGUACAAAGGGUUGCUACCUAGCGAUAGGAUGCUAAUCUCAAAAAGCCGAUCGUAGUCCGGAUUGGAGUCUGCAACUCGACUCCAUGAAGUCGGA
rnacentral:rRNA from 1 species